UCCAUAGUAUAGCGGUUAGCAUGUCUGCUUUACACGCAGAAGGUCCUGGGUUCACGUCCCAGUAGA
rnacentral:tRNA from 1 species